rnacentral:lncRNA from 1 species
ACCUCCCUCCUAUAUCCCUCCUGCCUUUUGUGCUCCGGCCCUUCAGGGGCCAACUACCCCCUCAGAUAUUUUUUCCCCACUUCCCCUGCCUAACCUGGCUCCCUUGCGAGAGUCUCUCCAACAUAGACGGGAAUAGAUCCAACUUUUAAAAGAAUUAAGAUCCCUUGACUCUGAGUUUCGCUCAUUAGCCUUAGGCACGGAGUCAACUCGAGCUGGCCCAAGGCAGUCUAAUACAAAGGCUAAGCCGCGCCUUUGGCCUGUUCUUGCCUUCCCAGUCAGACAGAUAAGCCCGCCUAGGCUGAGGACAAAGACUCAGAGGAGGAUCAAGAGGAGGAAGCGGGGAAAUGGCAAGAGGAAGAUCAGGACUCAGAGGAUGAAGAGUUCACCCCUAGGCAGGAAGGAACCCAGAGUGUCUACAAAAAAUUAAGCCUGCGUUUUCUUGAAAAACUUAAAAAGGCUUGUGCUCACUAUGGCCCCACUGCACCUUACACAUUGGCUUUAUUAGAAAGCCACAGUGCACAAUGGCUUACUCCUAAUGAUUGGAAAUUUUUAGCCUGAGCUACCCUCAGUGCCGGAGACUUCCUGUUAUGGAAUGCAGAUUUCAAAGAGCACUGUCAGGAAACUGCUCAAAAAAAUUUAACUAAGGCCUCCUCUAAAUCCUGGACUUAUGUUAAGCUAGUGGGCAAUGCGCCUUUUGACACUAACCCUAAACAGGCGCAUUUCCCUGCUGGACUUUUGGCGCAGAUUCAGACGGCUGGCUUACAUGCUUGGAGAUGCCUCCCUCAAAAGGGCUCGGCUACCACUUCCCUAGCAAAAAUUCGACAAGGGCCUGACAAGCCUUAUAGCGACUUUGUUGCCCAGCUUAACCUAGCCCCGGAACACCUACUUGGACCAAGCGAAAGCGAAAGCACCUUUGUAAAAUAUCUUGC